AUUGAACGCUGGCGGCAUGCCUUACACAUGCAAGUCGAACGGCAGCACGGGUGCUUGCACCUGGUGGCGAGUGGCGAACGGGUGAGUAAUACAUCGGAACAUGUCCUGUAGUGGGGGAUAGCCCGGCGAAAGCCGGAUUAAUACCGCAUACGAUCUACGGAUGAAAGCGGGGGACCUUCGGGCCUCGCGCUAUAGGGUUGGCCGAUGGCUGAUUAGCUAGUUGGUGGGGUAAAGGCCUACCAAGGCGACGAUCAGUAGCUGGUCUGAGAGGACGACCAGCCACACUGGGACUGAGACACGGCCCAGACUCCUACGGGAGGCAGCAGUGGGGAAUUUUGGACAAUGGGCGAAAGCCUGAUCCAGCAAUGCCGCGUGUGUGAAGAAGGCCUUCGGGUUGUAAAGCACUUUUGUCCGGAAAAAAAUCCUUGGCCCUAAUACGGUCGGGGGAUGACGGUACCGGAAGAAUAAGCACCGGCUAACUACGUG
rnacentral:rRNA from 1 species